AAGACUAUAGACCUGCGGAGUACCUGCGGAAGGAUCAUUACCGAGUAUCGGGUGCUCUCGCGCUCUACUCCCACCCUGUGCUUAUCUAUAACUGUUGCUUUGGCGGGCCGGUGGGUCACCCACCGCCGGGCGGCGCCUGGAGAGCGCCCGCCAGAGGACCAAGCAAAACUCUUUGUCAACAUGGUCGCAUCUGAGCACGCGAGAAUGAACAAAACUUUCAACAAUGGAUCUCUAGAUCGG
rnacentral:misc_RNA from 1 species